CCUACGGGAGGCAGCAGUGGGGAAUAUUGGACAAUGGGGGCAACCCUGAUCCAGCGACGCCGCGUGAGUGAAGAAGUAUUUCGGUAUGUUAAGCUCUAUCAGCAGGGAAGAAAAUGACGGUACCUGACUAAGAAGCCCCGGCUAACUACGUGCCAGCAGCCGCGGUAAUACGUAGGGGGCACGCGUUAUUCGGAUUUACUGGGUGUAAAGGGAGCGUAGACGGUGCAGCAAGUCUGAUGUGAAAGGUCGGGGCUCAACCCCGGGACUGCAUUGGAAACUGGUGAACUGGAGUACAGGAGAGGUAGGCGGAAGUCCUAGUGUAGCGGUGAAAUGCGUAGAUAUUAGGAGGAACACCAGUGGCGAAGGCGGCUUACUGGACUGUAACUGACGUUGAGGCUCGAAAGCGUGGGUAGCAAACAGGAUUAGAUACCCUAGUAGUC
rnacentral:rRNA from 1 species